CCUACGGGUGGCAGCAGUGGGGAAUAUUGCACAAUGGGGGAAACCCUGAUGCAGCGACGCCGCGUGAGUGAUGAAGUAUUUCGGUAUGGAAAGCUCUAUCAGCAGGGAAGAUAAUGACGGUACCUGACUAAGAAGCUCCGGCUAAAUACGUGCCAGGAGCCGCGGUAAAACGUAUGGAGCAGGCGUUAUCCGGAUUUGCUGGGUGUAAAGGGGGAGCAGAGGGCAGGGCAAGUCUGAUGUGAAAGUCCGGGGCUCAACCCCGGGACUGCCUUGGAAACUGUCCGGCUAGAGUGCAGGCGAGGUAAGUGGAAUUCGUAGGGUAGCGGUGAAAUGCGUAGAUAUUACGAGGAACACCAGUGGCGAAGGCAGCUUACUGGACUGUAACUGACGUUGAGGCUCGAAAGCGUGGGGAGCAAACAGGAUUAGAUACCCCGGUAGUC
rnacentral:rRNA from 1 species